UGACCGAGAAGGGGGACGGCAUCGUGCCCGGAAAGACCCGCCCUCGCCGCCGUCCGCCCGGCCCGCCUGGAUACCGGCAGAUUGCCUUUCAGCGCACGCCUACGAGGUCACGCGGGUCCAUCACAGUGACGGGGUCGGAGGGCGCAUGUACCCUUCGGGAGACUGUGGGGACCGCAGUGCAGUCUGGUCAUUUCCACAUCACUUUCUAGACUUAAUGGGUCAUCACGAUGGGAGGAAUGUGAGCUGACACUGCAUUUUCACUGGAUAAUGCUGCCCACCAGCACGGUCACGAGGCUUCCACGUCCUCGCCGCUCCGCCACAGCCACCUCCCUUCCCAGCCGUGGUGAGUAGGGUCUGAAUCCUGGGCCCGCCUGGCCCCUGCCUGACCCUCUGGGCCCACCCUGUCCACCUCCUGCUGGAAACUGGUCUCACUCCUCUAAUAAUCUGAUGAUGGUGAUUGGAUCUGAUAAUCUGAUCCUGGCAAUUAGAAGUUAACUAUUAAAAGAAUAAGAGUUGGGCCCCAGCUGGUUUCACUCAGUGGUUAGAGUAUCAGCCUGUGGACUAAA